UUAUCUGAUAUNACGUGCUUGCACUGAAUUGACGUUGGAUUACCAGUGAGCGGCGGACGGGUGAGUAACACGUGGGCAACCUGCCCUGAAGNGGGGGAUAACAUCUGGAAACAGGUGCUAAUACCGCAUAACAACGAAAACCACAUGGUUUUCGUUUCAAAGAUGGUUUCGGCUAUCACUUCAGGAUGGGCCCGCGGUGCAUUAGCUAGUUGGUAAGGUAACGGCUUACCAAGGCAAUGAUGCAUAGCCGAGUUGAGAGACUGAUCGGCCACAAUGGAACUGAGACACGGUCCAUACUCCUACGGGAGGCAGCAGUAGGGAAUCUUCCACAAUGGGCGCAAGCCUGAUGGAGCAACACCGCGUGAGUGAAGAAGGGUUUCGGCUCGUAAAGCUCUGUUGUUGGAGAAGAACGUGCGUGAGAGUAACUGUUCACGCAGUGACGGUAUCCAACCAGAAAGUCACGGNUUACUCCGUGCCACCAGCCGNGUNAUUAAA
rnacentral:rRNA from 2 species